rnacentral:rRNA from 1 species
AGAGUUUGAUCCUGGCUCAGGAUGAACGCUAGCUACAGGCUUAACACAUGCAAGUCGAGGGGCAGCAUGGAGUUUGCUUGCAGACUCUGAUGGCGACCGGCGCACGGGUGAGUAACACGUAUCCAACCUGCCCGCUACUCGGGGAUGGCCUUCCGAAAGGAAGAUUAAUACCCGAUGGCAUAUGGAGUCCGCAUGUUCUCCAUAUUAAAGAUUCAUCGGUAGCGGAUGGGGAUGCGUUCCAUUAGAUAGUUGGUGGGGUCACGGCCCACCAAGUCAACGAUGGAUAGGGGUUCUGAGAGGAAGGUCCCCCACACUGGAACUGAGACACGGUCCAGACUCCUACGGGAGGCAGCAGUGAGGAAUAUUGGUCAAUGGAAGCAAUUCUGAACCAGCCAAGUAACGUGAAGGAUGACUGCCCUAUGGGUUGUAAACUUCUUUUAUACGGGAAUAAACGGCACUACGUGUAGUGUUUUGCAUGUACCGUUAUGAAUAAGCAUCGGCUAAUUCCGUGCCAGCAGCCGCGGUAAUACGGAAGAUGCGAGCGUUAUCCGGAUUUAUUGGGUUUAAAGGGAGCGUAGGCGGGUUUUUAAGUCAGCUGUGAAAGUUUGGGGCUCAACCUUAAAAUUGCAGUUGAUACUGGAAGCCUUGAGUGCGGUAAAGGCAGGCGGAAUUCGUGGUGUAGCGGUGAAAUGCUUAGAUAUCACGAAGAACUCCGAUUGCGAAGGCAGCUUGCUGGGCCGUAACUGACGCUGAUGCUCGAAAGUGCGGGUAUCAAACAGGAUUAGAUACCCUGGUAGUCCGCACAGUAAACGAUGGAUACUCGUUGUUUGCGAUAUACCGUAAGCGACCAAGCGAAAGCGUUAAGUAUCCCACCUGGGGAGUACGCCGGCAACGGUGAAACUCAAAGGAAUUGACGGGGGCCCGCACAAGCGGAGGAACAUGUGGUUUAAUUCGAUGAUACGCGAGGAACCUUACCCGGGCUUGAACUGCAGAAGACUUAUUCGGAAACGGAUAUUCCCUUCGGGGCUUCUGUGGAGGUGCUGCAUGGUUGUCGUCAGCUCGUGCCGUGAGGUGUCGGCUUAAGUGCCAUAACGAGCGCAACCCUUAUCUUCAGUUGCCAUCGGGUGAUGCCGGGGACUCUGUAGAGACUGCCGUCGUAAGAUGUGAGGAAGGCGGGGAUGACGUCAAAUCAGCACGGCCCUUACGUCCGGGGCUACACACGUGUUACAAUGGUCGGUACAGAGGGUUGCUACCUGGCGACAGGAUGCUAAUCUCAUAAAACCGAUCUCAGUUCGGAUCGGAGUCUGCAACUCGACUCCGUGAAGCUGGAUUCGCUAGUAAUCGCGCAUCAGCCAUGGCGCGGUGAAUACGUUCCCGGGCCUUGUACUCACCGCCCGUCAAG